AUUGAACGCUGGCGGCAGGCCUAACACAUGCAAGUCGAGCGGAUGAAGGGAGCUUGCUCCUGGAUUCAGCGGCGGACGGGUGAGUAAUGCCUAGGAAUCUGCCUGGUAGUGGGGGAUAACGUCCGGAAACGGGCGCUAAUACCGCAUACGUCCUGAGGGAGAAAGUGGGGGAUCUUCGGACCUCACGCUAUCAGAUGAGCCUAGGUCGGAUUAGCUAGUUGGUGGGGUAAAGGCCUACCAAGGCGACGAUCCGUAACUGGUCUGAGAGGAUGAUCAGUCACACUGGAACUGAGACACGGUCCAGACUCCUACGGGAGGCAGCAGUGGGGGGUAUUGGACAAUGGGCGAAAGCCUGAUCCAGCCAUGCCGCGUGUGUGAAGAAGGUCUUCGGAUUGUAAAGCACUUUAAGUUGGGAGGAAGGGCAGUAAGUUAAUACCUUGCUGUUUUGACGUUACCAACAGAAUAAGCACCGGCUAACUUCGUG
rnacentral:rRNA from 1 species